rnacentral:rRNA from 1 species
UACAGAGGGGGCAAGCGUUGUUCGGAAUUACUGGGCGUAAAGGGCGCGUAGGCGGCCAACUAAGUCGGACGUGAAAUCCCUCGGCUCAACCGGGGAACUGCGUCCGAUACUGGAUGGCUUGAGUUCGGGAGAGGGAUGCGGAAUUCCAGGUGUAGCGGUGAAACGCGUAGAUAUCUGGAGGAAUACCGGUGGCGAAGGCGGCAUCCUGGACCGGCAUUGACGCUGAGGAGCGAAAGCUAGGGGAGCAAACGGG